rnacentral:rRNA from 1 species
CAUGCAAGUCGAACGGAGCUGAGAGGAGCUUGCUUUUCUUAGCUUAGUGGCGAACGGGUGAGUAACGCGUGAGUAACCUGCCCUGGAGUGGGGGACAACAGUUGGAAACGACUGCUAAUACCGCAUAAGCCCACGGCCCGGCAUCGGGCUGAGGGAAAAGGAUUUAUUCGCUUCAGGAUGGACUCGCGUCCAAUUAGCUAGUUGGUGAGGUAACGGCCCACCAAGGCGACGAUUGGUAGCCGGACUGAGAGGUUGAACGGCCACAUUGGGACUGAGACACGGCCCAGACUCCUACGGGAGGCAGCAGUGGGGGAUAUUGCACAAUGGGGGAAACCCUGAUGCAGCGACGCCGCGUGGAGGAAGAAGGUUUUCGGAUUGUAAACUCCUGUCGUUAGGGACGAUAAUGACGGUACCUAACAAGAAAGCACCGGCUAACUACGUGCCAGCAGCCGCGGUAAAACGUAGGGUGCAAGCGUUGUCCGGAAUUACUGGGUGUAAAGGGAGCGCAGGCGGACCGGCAAGUUGGAAGUGAAAACUAUGGGCUCAACCCAUAAAUUGCUUUCAAAACUGUUUUUCUUGAGUAGUGCAGAGGUAGGCGGAAUUCCCGGUGUAGCGGUGGAAUGCGUAGAUAUCGGGAGGAACACCAGUGGCGAAGGCGGCCUACUGGGCACCAACUGACGCUGAGGCUCGAAAGUGUGGGUAGCAAACAGGAUUAGAUACCCUGGUAGUCCACACCGUAAACGAUGAUUACUAGGUGUUGGAGGAUUGACCCCUUCAGUGCCGCAGUUAACACAAUAAGUAAUCCACCUGGGGAGUACGACCGCAA